CGAACGCUGGCGGCGUGCCUAACACAUGCAAGUCGAAUGCGAGCGGCCCUUUCGGGGGCUGAGUAGCAUGGCAGACGGGUGAGGAGCGCGUACCUGACCUGACUCUUGAAGGGGGAUAGUCCUGCGAAAGCGGGUUGAAUACCGCGUACGCUUGGUUUCUUUCGGGAAGCGAAGGAGAGUUGGCCUCUGCGAGGCAAGCUGACGUCAAGAGAGGGGGGUGCGUCCUAUUAGCUAGUUGGUGGGGUAAGAGCCUACCAAGGCCGCAAUGGGUAGCUGGUCUGAGAGGAUGAUCAGCCACACUGGGACUGAGACACGGCCCAGACUCCUACGGGAGGCAGCAGUGGGGAAUUUUGCGCAAUGGGGGCAACCCUGACGCAGCAACGCCGUGUGAGUGACGACGCCUUUCGGGGUGUAAAGCUCUGUCAACAGGGACGAAGCGCGGGAGCCGAAGAGGCCCCCGCGGUGACGGUACCUGUGGAGGAAGCCCCGGCUAACUCC
rnacentral:rRNA from 1 species